ACUGCUCAGUAACACGUGGACAACUGCCAUAGGACGGGGAUAAACCCGGGAAACUGGGUAUAAUACCCGAUAGGUCUCGAUUGCUGGAAUGCAUCGAGAUUUAAAGCUCCGGCGCCUAAGGAUGGGUCUGCGGCCUAUCAGGUAGUAGUGGGUGUAGCGUACCUACUAGCCUACGACGGGUACGGGUUGUGAGAGCAAGAGCCCGGAGAUGGAUUCUGAGACACGAAUCCAGGCCCUACGGGGUGCAGCAGGCGCGAAAACUUUACAAUGCUGGCAACAGCGAUAAGGGAACCUCGAGUGCCAGGUUACAAAUCUGGCUGUCGAGAUGCCUAAAAAGCAUUUCAUAGCAAGGGCCGGGCAAGACCGGUGCCAGCCGCCGCGGUAACACCGGCGGCUCGAGUGGUAACCGUUAUUAUUGGGUCUAAAGGGUCUGUAGCCGGCCGGAUAAGUCUCUUGAGAAAUCUGGCAGCUUAACUGUCAGGCUUUCAGGAGAUACUGUCUGGCUCGAGGCCGGGAGAGGUGAGAGGUACUUCAGGGGUAGGGGUGAAAUCUUGUAAUCCUUGAAGGACCACCAGUGGCGAAGGCGUCUCACCAGAACGGACCUGACGGCAAGGGACGAAAGCUAGGGGCACGAACCGGAUUAGAUACCCGGGUAGUCCUAGCCGUAAACGAUACUCGCUAGGUGUCGGCCACGGUGCGACCGUUGUCGGUGCCGUAGGGAAGCCGUGAAGCGAGCCACCUGGGAAGUACGGCCGCAAGGCUGAAACUUAAAGGAAUUGGCGGGGGAGCAC
rnacentral:rRNA from 1 species